rnacentral:rRNA from 1 species
AUUGAACGCUGGCGGCAUGCCUUACACAUGCAAGUCGAACGGUAACGGGCCUUCGGGUGCCGACGAGUGGCGAACGGGUGAGUAAUGUAUCGGAACGUACCUUUCAGUGGGGGAUAACGUAGCGAAAGUUACGCUAAUACCGCAUAUUCUGUGAGGAGGAAAGCAGGGGAUCGCAAGACCUUGCGCUGAUUGCGCGGCCGAUAUCAGAUUAGCUAGUUGGUGAGGUAAAAGCUCACCAAGGCGACGAUCUGUAGCGGGUCUGAGAGGAUGAUCCGCCACACUGGAACUGAGACACGGUCCAGACUCCUACGGGAGGCAGCAGUGGGGAAUUUUGGACAAUGGGGGCAACCCUGAUCCAGCCAUGCCGCGUGAGUGAAGAAGGCCUUCGGGUUGUAAAGCUCUUUCGGCCGGGAAGAAAUCGUAUCAGCUAAUACCUGGUGCGGAUGACGGUACCGGCAUAAGAAGCACCGGCUAACUACGUGCCAGCCGCCGCAGUAAUAC